GCCAUCUAACUUCUACUGACGGAAUAGAAGUCAUCUGUCUUCUACUGACUGAAUAGGAGCCAUCUGACUUCUACUGACUGAAUAGAAGCUGUCUGUCUUCUAUUGACUGAAUAGAAGCCAUCUGUCUUCUACUGACGGAAUAGAAGUCAUCUGUCUUCUACUGACUGAAUAGAAGCUGUCUGUCUUCUAUUGACUGAAUAGAAGCCAUCUGUCUUCUACUGACUGAAUAGAAGCCAUCUAACUUCUACUGACUGAAUAGAAGCCAUCUAACUUCUACUGACUGAAUAGAAGUCAUCUGUCUUCUACUGACUGAAUAGAAGUCAUCUGUCUUCUACUGACUGAAUAGAAGUCAUCUGUCUUCUACUGACUGAAUAGAAUUUGUCUGU
rnacentral:sRNA from 1 species